UACGUAGGCAGCAAGCGUUGUUCGGAAUUACUGGGCGUAAAGAGUGUGUGGGCGGUGUUCCAAGUCUGGUGUGAAAUCUCCCGGCUUAACUGGGAGGGUGCAUUAGAAACUGGAAUGCUAGAGGAUGGGAGAGGUAAGCGGAAUUCCUGGUGUAGCGGUGAAAUGCGUAGAUAUCAGGAGGAACACCUGUGGUGUAGACAGCUUACUGGACCAUUUCUGACGCUGAGACACGAAAGCGUGGGUAGCAAACAGG
rnacentral:rRNA from 1 species